rnacentral:rRNA from 1 species
GACAUAGGUGGCGAACGUUAUCCGGAUUUAUUGGGCGUAAAGGAUGCGUAGAUGGUGGAAUAAGUUAUUGGUCAAAGUCAAGCUCAACUUGGCGGAAGCUGGUAAUACUAUUCUACUUGAGGAUAGGAGAGGUUGGCGGAAUUCUUGGUGUAGCGGUGAAAUGCGUAGAUAUCGGAAGGAACGCCGGUGGCGAAAGCGAUCCGCUGGACCUCUUCUGACACUGAGGCGCGAAAGCUAGGGGAGCAAACGGG